GAUGAAGAACGCAGCGAAAUGCGAUACUUGGUGUGAAUUGCAGAAUCCCGUGAACCAUCGAGUCUUUGAACGCAAGUUGCGCCCGAAGCCACUAGGCCGAGGGCACGCCUGUCUGGGCGUCACACGCCGUUGCCCCCCCAUCUACUCCUUCGGGAUUGCGGGGGGGCGGAUGAUGGCCUCCCGUGCGCCUAGCCGCGCGGUUGGCAUAAAUACCAAGUCCUCGGCGACGCACGCCACGACAAUCGGUGGUUGCGAAACCUCGGUUGCCCGUCGUGUGCGUUCGUCGCGCAUCGAGGGCUCGAAAAAAUGCUCGGCUCCGGCUGGGCUUUCAACGCGACCCCAGGUCAGGCGGGGUUACCCGCUGAAUUUAAGCAUAUCAAUAAGCGGAGGA
rnacentral:misc_RNA from 1 species